CUAUGGGACGCUGCAGUGAGGAAUUUUGCGCAAUGGGGGGAACCCUGACGCAGCAACGCCGCGUGAGUGAAGAAGGCCUUUGGGUCGUAAAGCUCUGUCAACAGGGAAGAAGUUACUUCAUAUUAAUAGUGUGUAGUAUUGACGGUACCUGUGGAGGAAGCAUCGGCUAACUCCGUGCCAGCAGCCGCGGUAAUACGGGGGAUGCAAGCGUUAUUCGGAAUCAUUGGGCGUAAAGGGCACGCAGGCGGCUCUGUCAGUCAGAUGUGAAAGCCCGGGGCUCAACCCCGGACGUGCAUUUGAAACAGCAGAGCUUGAGUACGGUAGAGGAAAGCGGAAUUCCUGGUGUAGAGGUGAAAUUCGUAGAUAUCAGGAGGAACACCGGUGGCGAAGGCGGCUUUCUGGACCGAAACUGACGCUGAGGUGCGAAGGCGUGGGUAGCGAACAGGAUUAGAUACCCCGGUAGUC
rnacentral:rRNA from 1 species